CAGAGCAGGGUGGAAGGGCUGAUUUCUCUCCUGAUUGCAGACAGAGGUGCGGCAGCAGCUGAGCGCCUUCCCCUGGCAUGGCACCACGCUCUGCCAGAGGUCUUUCUGCGAGGUGGCCGCUGGCGAGGUGCGUGCAGGCUCCCAGGUGCCAGACCCCCUUGCUGGGAGCUGUCGGUGCCCCUCAACUGGAGGAUGGCACGGGGAUCUUCUCACUUCCCAAAACCUUGGGGGCUGUUUCGUUUCAGAAGCUCUCCAGCCAGGAGCUCAGCCCUGAGCCCUUGCAGGAGCCAUCCCAUGAGGCCCCAUGCAAGCUGAGCUGGCUCAUGGAGCAGCAUGAAGUCGUCAGCCACUGUGAGAGCCAACUCCAGCAGUACUGUGAGCACCAACACCCCCACCAUGCAGAGCCACCAUGUUGGGUUGUGCCACCGAACCUUUGCCAGGACUGGUGGAUGGCAGGGCCACGCUCAGCCAUCCCAUCCAAGUCCCCAAGCUGCUGCAGCCCCCCUCAUCCCUCUGCUUUGCUCCCAGCCAUGCUGGCAUGACUUGGGGUGUGGUGACUGUCAUUUGUGGCACCCCUGGGUGCCCUGGUGCUGGCCGUGCAAGGGGACUGGGGGGGCUCUGCAGCCAUAAAGCCACCAGGGUUUGGGAUGUCACCAUGCUGGGGGCCUGCAGGAGCUGGAGCAAAGCUUUGGUGUCUAUUUUCAGCCGACUUGGGGACCUUGGAGGACACGGCUGCCCAACUGGAGAAGGUGCCAAGCGAGACCAGGCACCUGCAGGAUGAAGGAGCGAAGGGGCUGGAUUUCGGCAGGGAGGUGCUGGACCAGGUGGGACAGCUGAAGGAGCAGUGCGCGAGGCUGCAGGAAGCUGCGGAGCGGCUGUGGGGUGACAUCGGGGACACCCAGAAAGCCGACAAAGCUGCGCUGGAGACCAAAUUGAGCCAGGAUGAGCUGCAACAUGCCAUGGUCCAGCUGAGCCAGAUGAUGCAGAACCUGCUGCAGAGGAUGUCCCUGCUGGACCAGGACAGGCAGAAAGACCUAGAGAAGCUCCUCAGCGAGAUGGACUCCAAGCUGGACUGCGCGGCCCUGGCUCCCCUGCAGGCAAAGCUGGAGCAGAUCUGGAGGCUCACCCAACGGUGCCUCUGCAAGGGACGCUGCUGUGGUGCCAACCGGGCUGCUGGGUUCAAGAGGUGGGAGCUGCUGGAUCCCAUCUUGUCCCCUUCUGUCCUCUCCUGUGCUGCCCCAUCCCCUCCCAUGCUGUCCCAUCC
rnacentral:lncRNA from 1 species